rnacentral:rRNA from 1 species
UAACCUACGGGGGGCAGCAGUGGGGAAUAUUGCACAAUGGGGGAAACCCUGAUGCAGCGACGCCGCGUGAGUGAAGAAGUAAUUCGUUAUGUAAAGCUCUAUCAGCAGGGAAGAUAAUGACGGUACCUGACUAAGAAGCCCCGGCUAACUACGUGCCAGCAGCCGCGGUAAUACGUAGGGGGCAAGCGUUAUCCGGAUUUACUGGGUGUAAAGGGAGCGUAGGUGGAAGGGAAAGUCAGAGG